GCGGGAAUAGCUCAGCCGGUUAGAGCGCCAGGUUGUGGCCCUGGAGGUCGUGGGUUCGAAUCCCAUUUCUCGCCCCA
rnacentral:tRNA from 1 species